AAAACUCAUUCCCACACUUGGACAUAUUUGGACUAACAUUGACUUCAACUUGCCCUAACACUAUUCAACCAAACCUCCCUUUCUCCUCUUUCGACUAAUACCGUCCUCCUCUUCGUUCUCCAGCUCCAACCAGAACCCGACCCUCCUCGUCCUCCUUCUUUUCUGCGUCGGACCAGCUCCUCUGCUUGAAGACGGUGAACAUAAUCCGAGUUUGAGGCCGGUGAUUUGGAGAAAAUUUGAGCUUUUCUUUCAUAGUAUCUUCAGAGAGGUAGCAACUGCAAGUAGCACAACAGAAAGAAAAAGGCAAAUCAAAACGUGGGAAGGGCAAAAGCUUUACUUUGCAGCAACUGCAAGUAGCUCGUGAGGAAUAUGAUGAGGAAGCUACAUUGUGUGUUUUCCGGUUGAAGUCCCUGAAGCAAGGGCAAGCCCAAAGUAUUCUAACACAAGCAGCUCGCCACCAUGCUGCUCAGUUGAACUUCUUUCGGAAAGGACUCAAGUCACUUGAGGCUAUCGAGCCACAUGUUACGUUGGUUACAGAGGAGGAAGGUGAUGAGAGUGUUCGCAGGGUUCAGAUGAUGAGGAAGGUGAUGAGAGUGGUCAUGCAACCGGGAGUCAGAAUGAGAACCCCGGUGUCAAUCCCAAAUCUUCAGGAAACUCGAAAACUGGUAUAUCUUUAUUGUUAGUGCUUUGAAUUUUGAGUCUCAAAUGAUCUGAGAAAAGGGAAUGUAGAAAGAUGUUGAUUCUUUUUGGUACCAUUAUAUGGUUCAUUUGAAGAACAUAACAGAGGAUUAUUACAAAGAGUGAUUAGUUAACUCUGUGUGUAACGUUGUCUAAAUUAUAAGGACUCUCAACGCCUGUUAAUUAAACUUUAAAGGGUUCAUUUUCAAGACCAUGUUACUUUGACCCAUGUGUCUUUUGCAUCCCACCACAAGCCACCGACUAUUUGUUCACACACAUUUAUACUAUUUCAGUUGAAGAUUUCUUCUACUACACUAAUACUAUGAUUGCUCUCUCUUUUUCAUAUUCCUUCCGUAUCUCAAUUGCCAACACAUUUUUCCUUGUACUUUUAGAUUCAGUAUAUAUAACUUGCUAGCUUAGCUAGAGAGAAACAUUAAGUCUUAGUUCCUAAGUUGACAACUUCACUACACACACAAACUGAUCAACUAUACACAGAAGAAGUGAUCAAGAAGUAGACUGCAGUAGUAGUAAUGGCAGAUUGGGGACCGGUGGUGAUAGCGGUGGUGUUGUUUGUGCUGUUAAGUCCAGGGCUACUGUUUCAACUGCUGGGGAAGAGCAGAGUGGUGGAGUUUGGCAACAUGCAAACCAGCGGACUAUAGUUGUAUUAUAUGCUCUUAAGAACCUGUGCCUCUGUUUCUAGUGACAAAUAUGUCCAAUUUUGUUUCCACUGCCACUUAUUUACUUCUUUCUUUUUAUUUAGAUGACUAUGGUAGUAAUCUAAUUUUGUAGGUAGAAUCCAUCUCCCUUGAUGAAGCUGCAAGGUUAUUACUUGGGGAUGCACACAAUGCAUAUGUAAUGAGAACUAAAGUAAGGCGGAUUUAUGAUAUUGCAAAUGUUUCGUCCUCCAUGAAUCUUAUUGAAAAGACCCACGCAGUAGAUACAAGGAAGCCUACAGAUAAAUGGUUGGGAUUGAGAGGAAAAGAUGCUACGAGCUCAGCUUCAGACGAGUCUAGAAAAAGAGCCUUUGGAACAGUUAUCACAAACGUUGUAAGAGAGGCAAAGUAGAAUCUUCUACUGCUGGGAAAUUGGAAGCUCAGAAACAAAAGCAACAUGAGAGUAUAGUACGGCAACGUGAGAGUAUAGUACGGCAACGUGAGAGCAUAGUACGUAAGGUUGAUAGGAACAAUUCAGAGGACUCGAAAGAAAAUACAAAGAGCUACCAGUUUGGCCCUUUUGCCCCAGUUACUAUUGCCAGAGCUGGGAAUUUCAACAUGAAGAAGGUUGACUGGGACAAUUUGUCCUCUACGUACUUACCGUCCCUAGUAUCAUAAUCAAGGUAUCAUCAUCUUAUACUUCAGCCUGAUGUGCAGGUAUAUGAUAAGACAUACAAGGUUUAUAUAUAUGGACGCAAGAAAAAGUGAAACUAUUACUAAGCUACUUGGUUUGUAGAUUACUUGAUUAAUUGAAGAGCAAUGCUCUCUUCAGUACUUGCCUUACAAUUUCAAACAUUCUUUCUUGUUCAAUGUAGAUUAUUUCUUUACAAAAAGGGUUCUCAAUUUAGUCACUGUGUUAGUGUUCUGAAUUUAAUGAUGUUCUAUUAUUGUUCUGUAUCUCUAUUUAACUAGUUGGUGGUUGGUUACUUGAUACAUAAAUAACAAUAUUACCAGUCUUUGCUUAUGCUUA